AACGAACGCUGGCGGCAUGCCUAACACAUGCAAGUCGAACGAUUGCCUUCGGGUGAUAGUGGCGCACGGGUGCGUAACGCGUGGGAAUCUGCCCUUAGGUUCGGAAUAACAGCUGGAAACGGCUGCUAAUACCGGAUGAUAUCGCGAGAUCAAAGAUUUAUCGCCUGAGGAUGAGCCCGCGUUGGAUUAGGUAGUUGGUGGGGUAAAGGCCUACCAAGCCGACGAUCCAUAGCUGGUCUGAGAGGAUGAUCAGCCACACUGGGACUGAGACACGGCCCAGACUCCUACGGGAGGCAGCAGUGGAGAAUAUUGGACAAUGGGCGCAAGCCUGAUCCAGCAAUGCCGCGUGAGUGAUGAAGGCCCUAGGGUUGUAAAGCUCUUUUACCCGGGAAGAUAAUGACUGUACCGGGAGAAUAAGCCCCGGCUAACUCCGUG
rnacentral:rRNA from 1 species